UACGUAGGGUGCGAGCGUUAAUCGGAAUACUGGGCGUAAAGCGUGCGCAGGCGGUUCGUUGUGUCUGAUGUGAAAAGCCCCGGGCUCAACCUGGGAAUGGCAUUGGAAACUGGCGAGCUAGAGUGUGGCAGAGGGGGGGUGGAAUUCCGCGUGUAGCAGUGAAAUGCGUAGAGAUGCGGAGGAACACCAAUGGCGAAGGCAGCUCUCUGGGACGGUACUGACGCUGAGACGCGAAAGCGUGGGGAGCGAACAGG
rnacentral:rRNA from 1 species